AUGUCAUAACAUAAUGCCAAGAUCCUAUGCUAGAACAUCCGCGGCCUCAACGCAGAUGUGAGAAAAGAUGCCAUCCACGACAUCAUACGCGACACUCACUCCACGAUUGUUUGCAUCCAAGAAACUAAACUUGCUGUCAUCAAUGAUAGUAUCAUUAGUCGCGCCCUCGGCCCGCAAUUUGUGUCAAACUAUUGCUUCAGCCCUGCUCACGGGACUCGGGGAGGCAUGGUGAUGGCCGUCUCCGAUGCCUUUUUCAUUAUGUCCGAGGUUGUCCACAUAGAAAACAACAUACCUGCAACCAUCACUAUGUUAGCUGAUGGAUCCUCCUGGACAAUGACUGGAGCUUAUGGAGCGCAAUCCGAGCAGGAAAAGCUUGCUUUCCUCGAUGAAAUUCUACAACUACAACCCAACAUGCAUGACCAGUGGAUUUUGCUUGGCGAUUUCAAUUUGAUCUUCAAAGCGGCGGACAAAAGUAACAACAGAAUAAAUAGAAGGCUCCUUGGAAAAUUCAAAACAGUGCUCGACUCCCGCAUGCUCAAGCAAAAUCGGAUGUACCCUUGUCAUUCUGGGUAUAUGCUCUAG
rnacentral:rRNA from 1 species